UCCGAAGGAUAGGUACUCGCAUAAAUUCCUUGGAACAGGAUGUCAAAGAGGGUGACAACCCCGUAGUCGGCGAGUAUUCUACCGUAGGAGAGAUUUCGAAGAGUCGGGUUGUUUGGGACUGCAGCCCUAAGUGGGAGAUAAACUUCUUCUAAAGCUAAAUACACACGGGAGACCGAUAGCGAACAAGUACUGCGAAGGAAAGAUGAAAAGAACUUUGAAAAGAGGGUUAAAAGACUUGAAACCGUUGAGAAGGAAGCUGUAGAAGAGCAAUAAACUGGCUUUGUUGUAAACUAUCUGAUGGUACUCACUGCUGUAUCGAUACGCAAGGUCGGUGCGGUGUGAAGAGGUCAUCAAAUGGUGCUACCAAAGUUAGGAGACAAAAUGGUGUUUGGUUGAAGGAGUCACCUGAGAUUCGUAGCAUCAAAAGGAAAACUUCAAUCGGGCAUGAGGGGCCUACGGGCGAUUUUGUCAAAAUGGCUUCUACUGACCCGUCUUGAAACACGGACCAAGGAGUCUAUCAAUUAAGCGAGUGACAGGGUGGAAAAACCCGUCCGCACAACGAAAGUGAGUACAAGGUGCCAACCGCAAGGUGCAGCAUCACCCGACCUCAAGUCUCCGACAAGAGGAUCGAGGAAGAGCUUAAUUGAUAGGACCCGAAAGAUGGUGAACUACGCUUGAAUAGGGUGAAGCCAGGGGAAACUCUGGUGGAAGCUCGUAGCGAU
rnacentral:rRNA from 1 species